rnacentral:rRNA from 1 species
AUGCCGAAAGGAAGAGCCCCCGGGUCCGAUGGGUUCACGUCCGAGUUCUUAUGUGCAUCUUGGCCUACGAUCAAAGACGAUUUUGUUGAGGCGUUCAACAAGCUCUACUCCCUCAACAGCCUCGGAUUUCAACGUCUGAAUGAGGCCCUACUCACUCUUCUACGAAAAAAGCCCGACGCCGCCGCGCUCUCAGACUACCACCCGAUCAGCUUGAUCCACCUAUUCGCCAAGCUUUUCGCCAAGGUGCUCUCUCUCCGCCUUGCGCCAAAGCUCUGUGACAUGAUCUCCACCAACCAGAGCACGUUCAUCGUGGGCCGAUGCAUCCAUGACAACUUUUUGCUGGUCCACUACAAGAAAUAUGUCAACUUGUGA